rnacentral:rRNA from 1 species
UACGGAGGGUGCAAGCGUUAUCCGGAUUCACUGGGUUUAAAGGGUGCGUAGGAGGGCAGGUAAGUCAGUGGUGAAAUCUCCAAGCUUAACUUGGAAACUGCCGUUGAUACUAUCUGCCUUGAAUACCGUGGAGGUGAGCGGAAUAUGUCAUGUAGCGGUGAAAUGCUUAGAUAUGACAUAGAACACCAAUUGCGAAGGCAGCUCGCUACACGAAUAUUGACUCUGAGGCACGAAAGCGUGGGGAUCAAACAGG